GUAUCCCCGGCCGGGCUUCCCGGAGAGGAGCCUUGGGAUGCAGGGACGGCACGGCGGAG
rnacentral:miRNA from 1 species